rnacentral:rRNA from 1 species
GAUGAACGCUGGCGGCGUGCCUAAUACAUGCAAGUCGAGCGAACAGACGAGGAGCUUGCUCCUCUGACGUUAGCGGCGGACGGGUGAGUAACACGUGGAUAACCUACCUAUAAGACUGGGAUAACUUCGGGAAACCGGAGCUAAUACCGGAUAAUAUAUUGAACCGCAUGGUUCAAUAGUGAAAGACGGUUUUGCUGUCACUUAUAGAUGGAUCCGCGCCGCAUUAGCUAGUUGGUAAGGUAACGGCUUACCAAGGCGACGAUGCGUAGCCGACCUGAGAGGGUGAUCGGCCACCCUGGAACGGAGACACGGUCCAGACUCCUACGGGAGGCAGCAGUAGGGAAUCUUCCGCAAUGGGCGAAAGCCUGACGGAGCAACGCCGCGUGAGUGAUGAAGGUCUUCGGAUCGUAAAACUCUGUUAUUAGGGAAGAACAAAUGUGUAAGUAACUAUGCACGUCUUGACGGUACCUAAUCAGAAAGCCACGGCUAACUACGUG